AGAGGAGCCUGCAUUCCCAUUUUAAACCGGCUGACCAACGUGCCUGCAAGCUUGCCAUGAGACACAUGAAGAGGAUCCACAGCUGCAUGCAGCAGGUCAUGGAAUUUAUACUGCUCAGUUUGGAGGUGUGCUGAGCUCCUGGGUCAUCCAUGCAGAUUCGAAAUCGUUGAGAGGGUCAGCGCUGACAGCACAGGCAGGAAGGGAGCACGCUUGUCAAGCACUGGCUGUAACAGAAUGUUUGUGUACUGUGCACUCUCGCUUAAUGAUCAGAACAGCCCUUGAGGUAGGAAAUGCUUAUCUUGAUUUACAGGAGGCUCAGAAGUCCAGACCAAGGCGACAGCAAGGCGGGUUCCAUUCUGAGUCUCUGGCUGUGGGCAACUU
rnacentral:lncRNA from 1 species